rnacentral:misc_RNA from 1 species
GUGAAGGCCUCCCCAGGCUGGAAGCCAAAUAAGACUGAUGGGCAUACCCGGGAGUCUGCGCAUGCAAACACCAUGAACUUUGGGCUCUGGCCCUCCGCGAGCUCCCGGAACACCUCAGGCUUCUGCUCGUAUAUCUCUUUCUUGAACACAUCGAAUCCCGACCUCAUCCGAUCCACGGCCGCCUCCAUUCUUCGAUUGAUCAGAAUCACAAUCAGGAAAAGUGCAAUUCAAACAGAGAACGGAAAAGUGCAAUUCAAACAGAGAAC